GGAGCCGUAGCGAAAGCGAGUUUUAACUGAGCGUUCAGUUACUUGACGUAGACCCGAAACCGGGCGACCUACCCAUGAGCAGGAUGAAGCGAAAGUAAAAUUUCGUGGAGGUCCGAACCCACGAGCGUUGAAAAGCUCGGGGAUGACUUGUGGGUAGCGGUGAAAUUCCAAUCGAGCCCGGAGAUAGCUGGUUCUCCCCGAAAUAGCUUUAGGGCUAGCCUCAAGGUGAGAGAUACGGAGGUAGAGCACUGAAUGUCCUAGGGGGUAUUGCACCUACCGAAGACUAUCAAACUCCGAAUGCCGUCAUCUUAUACUUGGGAGUCAGACUGUGGGUGAUAAGAUUCAUAGUCGAAAGGGCAACAGCCCAGAUCGUCAGCUAAGGUCCCUAAAUGUAAGUUAAGUGGUAAAGGAUGUGGGAUUGCACAGACAACCAGGAUGUUGGCUUAGAAGCAGCCACUCAUUCAAAGAGUGCGUAAUAGCUCACUGGUCGAGUGAUCCUGCGCCGAAGAUUUCCGGGGCUAAAACUUACUACCGAAGCUACGGCAUCAGUAAUGAUGGGUAGGGGAGCUUCCCAUACGGGUUGAAGCAUGACCGUAAGGACAUGUGGACAGUAUGGGGGUGAGAAUGUUGGCAUGAGUAGCGAGAUGUGGGUGGGAAUCCCACAGGCCGUAAACCCAAGGUUUCCAGGGGAAGGUUCGUCCGCCCUGGGUUAGUCGGGACCUAAGCUGAGGCCGAAAGGCGUAGGUGAUGGACAACAGGUUGAUAUUCCUGUACUACCGAUAACCGUUUGAGAGAAGGGAUGACACAGUAGGAUAAGCUAAGCACACUGUUGGUUAUGUGUGCCCAAGCAUUGAGGCAGUCAAAGUAGGCAAAUCCGCUUUGAUAAUGCUGGGAUGUGAUGGGGAGCGAAAUUUAGUAGCGAAGUAGCUGAUUUCACACUGUCAAGAAAAGUCUCUAUCGAGGUUAAAGGUACCCGUACCGCAAACCGACACAGGUGGGUGAGGAGAGUAUCCUAAGGCCAGCGAGAGAACUGUUGUUAAGGAACUCGGCAAAAUGACCCCGUAACUUAGGGAUAAGGGGUGCCACCAUCAGGUGGCCGCAGAGAAUAGGCCCAAGCGACUGUUUACCAAAAACAUAGGUUUCUGCUAAGUCGCAAGACGAUGUAUAGGAGCUGACGCCUGCCCGGUGCUGGAAGGUUAAGGGGAUCUGUUAGAGCAAUCGAAGCAGUGAACUUAAGCCCCAGUAAACGGCGGCCGUAACUAUAACGGUCCUAAGGUAGCGAAAUUCCUUGUCGGGUAAGUUCCGACCCGCACGAAAGGCGUAACGAUUUGGGCACUGUCUCA
rnacentral:rRNA from 1 species